GACCUCAUAGCAGGACAGGUAGACACUGCAGUCACUCCAUGAAGUCCCAAUAUCACAUCCACUUAUCACAUCCACCACAUUUGCAAAAAGACAUCUCAUUACAUCAAAACUGGUAUAUGAGAUGUAACCUCACUAAAAGUCUCACCAAGCACAAAAAAUUUGAACACCAUACAUGGGAGGAGGAAGCCAGGACCAGAUCAAACAGAAACUGCUUGCAUUAAGACCUGUAACCACCUUGGUGAUGUAGCUGAACACAAAGAAAAAUCAAAGCAUGAGUAUUGGGAUUUAGAGAUAAGUGUGCAAAAGGCUUAAUUUUUCUAAGGCAAAGAAGCAAUGUAAACCAUAAUUGUAACUAUGCAGUUAUAAAUCACAAUUUUAAACAAAAGGACAGAAAAACAGGCAGAAGUACUGAAUUAAAGAACAGGAUAGAGUUUUUAACUCAUAAUAGAAGACUUGACAAUCCUUACCAAAGGGGUGAAGAUGUCAAGAAAUUUUCCUUUAUGAAGAUAAUUUGUGUAAAGAGGGAGUUUUUUGUUUCUGAAGAAAAUUUUGGCAGAAAGUAUAGAAUAAGAGAAGGAAUAGCAAAAGCACAAAAGUCACAGAAGGAAACUAGAGUCUAGUAAGAUGUUCAGUUAUAGGGUUGGGGAUAUAACUCAGUUGAUAGAGUGCUGGCCUCACAUGCACAAGGCCCUGGGUUUAAUCCCCAUUACCACCAAAAAAAGUUCAGUUACAAAUUUUUAUUGUGUUUUUCAUGAUGUCAUUUAGAAUUAUUAUUAGUAUUAUUAUUUAAAUCAGGAAUUGAACCCACAGGUACUUAACUAAUGAGCC
rnacentral:lncRNA from 1 species